rnacentral:piRNA from 1 species
UGGUGUUACAUUGUUCAAGGGGUUUC